AAGUUUGAUCAUGGCUCAGGAUGAACGCUGGCGGAGUGCCUAACACAUGCAAGUCGAGCGGCAGCGCGAGUAGUUUACUACUUGGCGGCGAGCGGCGGACGGCUGAGUAACGCGUGGGAACAUGCCCCAAAGUGAGGAAUAACUGCCCGAAAGGGUAGCUAAUGCCGCAUACGAUCUUCGGAUUAAAGGAUUUAUCCGCUUUGGGAGUGGCCUGCGUACGAUUAGAUAGUUGGUGAGGUAAUGGCUCACCAAGUCUACGAUCGUUAACUGGUUUGAGAGGAUGAUCAGUCAGACUGGAACUGAGACACGGUCCGGACUCCUACGGGAGGCAGCAGUGAGGAAUCUUCCACAAUGGACGAAAGUCUGAUGGAGCAACUCCGCGUGCAGGAUGAAGGCCUUCGGGUCGUAAACUGCUUUUAUGAGUGAAGAAUAUGACGGUAACUCAUGAAUAAGGGUCGGCUAACUACGUG
rnacentral:rRNA from 1 species